CAACCCAAAAAAAAAAAAAGGGAUUAUUGAGUAAUUAUUUAGGGAAAAAAACUGACCUAAUUUCAAUUUGUGAAAAGAAGCCUCUCUGUGCUUUAAUCCAAUCAUCAAAUCAGAUUUCGAGGCCUCAAGCAAACAAGUCAUGUCUUUCUCUACCAAAGCUUCCUUCAUCUAUACAACAAAUCAGAUACAAAAUCCCACAAAUCCCUCAAAACCCCCAAAUUCAAACAUCAUCAAAACCUAAUCUUAUAAGCAAUCGAAAUUUCCAUGAAAUUUCGAGCUAACCUGAGUGAUAUGAUCUUCGUAGAG
rnacentral:misc_RNA from 1 species